GAUGAACGCUGGCGGCGUGCCUAAUACAUGCAAGUCGAGCGAACGGACGAGAAGCUUGCUUCUCUGAUGUUAGCGGCGGACGGGUGAGUAACACGUGGAUAACCUACCUAUAAGACUGGGAUAACUUCGGGAAACCGGAGCUAAUACCGGAUAAUAUUUUGAACCGCAUGGUUCAAAAGUGAAAGACGGUCUUGCUGUCACUUAUAGAUGGAUCCGCGCUGCAUUAGCUAGUUGGUAAGGUAACGGCUUACCAAGGCAACGAUGCAUAGCCGACCUGAGAGGGUGAUCGGCCACACUGGAACUGAGACACGGUCCAGACUCCUACGGGAGGCAGCAGUAGGGAAUCUUCCGCAAUGGGCGAAAGCCUGACGGAGCAACGCCGCGUGAGUGAUGAAGGUCUUCGGAUCGUAAAACUCUGUUAUUAGGGAAGAACAUAUGUGUAAGUAACUGUGCACAUCUUGACGGUACCUAAUCAGAAAGCCACGGCUAACUACGUGCCAGCAGCCGCGGUAAUACGUAGGUGGCAAGCGUUAUCCGGAAUUAUUGGGCGUAAAGCGCGCGUAGGCGGUUUUUUAAGUCUGAUGUGAAAGCCCACGGCUCAACCGUGGAGGGUCAUUGGAAACUGGAAAACUUGAGUGCAGAAGAGGAAAGUGGAAUUCCAUGUGUAGCGGUGAAAUGCGCAGAGAUAUGGAGGAACACCAGUGGCGAAGGCGACUUUCUGGUCUGUAACUGACGCUGAUGUGCGAAAGCGUGGGGAUCAAACAGGAUUAGAUACCCUGGUAGUCCACGCCGUAAACGAUGAGUGCUAAGUGUUAGGGGGUUUCCGCCCCUUAGUGCUGCAGCUAACGCAUUAAGCACUCCGCCUGGGGAGUACGACCGCAAGGUUGAAACUCAAAGGAAUUGACGGGGACCCGCACAAGCGGUGGAGCAUGUGGUUUAAUUCGAAGCAACGCGAAGAACCUUACCAAAUCUUGACAUCCUUUGACAACUCUAGAGAUAGAGCUUUCCCCUUCGGGGGACAAAGUGACAGGUGGUGCAUGGUUGUCGUCAGCUCGUGUCGUGAGAUGUUGGGUUAAGUCCCGCAACGAGCGCAACCCUUAAGCUUAGUUGCCAUCAUUAAGUUGGGCACUCUAAGUUGACUGCCGGUGACAAACCGGAGGAAGGUGGGGAUGACGUCAAAUCAUCAUGCCCCCUAUGAUUUGGGCUACACACGUGCUACAAUGGACAAUACAAAGGGCAGCGAAACCGCGAGGUCAAGCAAAUCCCAUAAAGUUGUUCUCAGUUCGGAUUGUAGUCUGCAACUCGACUACAUGAAGCUGGAAUCGCUAGUAAUCGUAGAUCAGCAUGCUACGGUGAAUACGUUCCCGGGUCU
rnacentral:rRNA from 1 species